CAGGCUUAAUCCUCAACAGCAAGAAGUGCUCAGAGGUGGCCGUUCAGUAGCGUCCGUACAUGCAGUUUGUGGCCAGUUAGACAAGCAGCUCGCGCUACUGUUUGCCAUUAAAACGUUUACAUGGGUGGUAAAAGGAUUCUACCUUCAGAAUGCGUGAAAUAAAAGUCUACAUUCUGCUUUUCUGGUCAAGUUUUACAGCGGUACGCAGUCAGCAGGAUGUCAGCCCCCCAAGGAUCUUAAAUGGGGAACAACUUCUUGUAAAUGGAGGACCUGCAACACUGACUUGCGAGGGAGACGAACCUCUCGUCUGGACAUACAAGUACCAGGAUUGCCAUUAUGACAUGGGAAACCAGACCCAGACGUCGAAGACAGAUGGCUCCUAUAAAUCCCAACUGACGCUAAAUAACCAAAACAGCCAGGGUCAUUACCACUGCCAUUACGAGAACACUAGCCUGAGUGACCCCGGGGCAUCAGCCAGCACCUAUGUCUACCUUUUUUGUA